rnacentral:rRNA from 1 species
AGAGUUUGAUCCUGGCUCAGGACUAACGCUGACGGUGUGCAUAAUACAUGCAAGUCGAACGUGCGAUGAAGAAGUAGCAAUACUUUUUCAAAGCAAGUGGCGAACGGGUGCGUAACGCGUGGGUAAUCUGCCUUGAAGAUUGGGACAACUCCUCGAAAGAGGGGCUAAUACCAAAUAUUUUAUAUGAACCGCAUGAUUUAUAUAACAAAGGUAGCCGCAAGGCUUCCACUUUAAGAUGAGCCCGCGUCCUAUUAGCUAGUUGGUAAGGUAACGGCUUACCAAGGCUAUAAUGGGUAGCCGGUCUGAGAGGAUGGUCGGCCACACUGGGACUGAGAUACGGCCCAGACUCCUACGGGAGGCAGCAGUAGGGAAUAUUGCGCAAUGGGCGAAAGCCUGACGCAGCGACACCGUGUGAAGGAUGAAGAUUUUCGGAUCGUAAACUUCUGUCAAUUGGGGACGAAGGUAGUAGGGUUAAUAGCUCUUACUAUUGACGGUACCCAAUAAGGAAGUCUCGGCUUACUCCGUGCCAGCAGCCGCGGUAAGACGGGGGAGGCAAGCGUUGUCCGGAAUUAUUGGGCGUAAAGAGCGCGUAGGUGGUUUGUAAAGUCAUUUGUGAAAACUUUAGGCUUAACUUAAAGACUGCAAGUGAUACUGACAAACUUGAGUACAGUAGAGGAAAGUGGAAUUCCUGGUGUAGCGGUGAAAUGCGCAGAUAUCAGGAAGAACACCAGUGGCGAAGGCGGCUUUCUGGGCUGUUACUGACACUGAGGCGCGAAAGCUAGGGGAGCGAACAGGAUUAGAUACCCUGGUAGUCC